UGGUUGGUCAUCACAGGACACAAUACUGA
rnacentral:piRNA from 2 species